AUCGAUGAGAACUAGAACGAGAAGUUUUCGUUGGAGAAGGAAUGGGGAAUGUGAAGAAUGCAAAAAGUUUUUCUCCAAAAGCUAUUGUUGAUUCAAGUCGGUUUAGAGGCUUCUAGAACCUGACAGCUCAUUCAGGUUCUUUGUUCCAACACUUCUUCAUCGCAGUCGUCCCCGAUUUGCUCAUUACAGGUUAGUUUUCCAUUGGUAUUCAUGGUUUUGUUUGUAUGUUUUCCCCGAUUGCAUGUUUGUAUUGCUGUAGUAGCUUUUGUUGUUUCCUUUGUAUGGUUUUGUUUGUAUGUUUGUAUUACUCAUUACAGCUAUUGUUUGUAUGGUUAUGGUUAUUGCUGCAAGAAAUGUACAGACAAAAUGAAUGUAGGAAUAUAAUGAUUCGCAAUCCUUGCUUGCAA